UGGGGGAAUAUUGCACAAUGGGCGCAAGCCUGAUGCAGCAACGCCGCGUGAGGGACGACGGCCUUCGGGUUGUAAACCUCUUUUAGUAGGGAAGAAGCGAAAGUGACGGUACCUGCAGAAAAAGCACCGGCUAACUACGUGCCAGCAGCCGCGGUAAUACGUAGGGUGCGAGCGUUGUCCGGAAUUAUUGGGCGUAAAGAGCUCGUAGGCGGUCUGUCGCGUCUGCUGUGAAAACCCGAGGCUCAACCUCGGGCCUGCAGUGGGUACGGGCAGACUAGAGUGCGGUAGGGGAGAAUGGAAUUCCUGGUGUAGCGGUGGAAUGCGCAGAUAUCAGGAGGAACACCGAUGGCGAAGGCAGUUCUCUGGGCCGUAACUGACGCUGAGGAGCGAAAGCGUGGGGAGCGAACAGGAUUAGAUACCCUGGUAGUCCACGCCGUAAACGUUGGGCGCUAGAUGUGGGGCACCAUUCCACGGUUUCCGUGUCGCAGCUAACGCAUUAAGCGCCCCGCCUGGGGAGUACGGCCGCAAGGCUAAAA
rnacentral:rRNA from 1 species